rnacentral:rRNA from 1 species
CCUACGGGAGGCAGCAGUGAGGAAUAUUGGUCAAUGGACGAGAGUCUGAACCAGCCAAGUAGCGUGAAGGAUGACUGCCCUAUGGGUUGUAAACUUCUUUUAUAUGGGAAUAAAAUGUUCCACGUGUGGGAUUUUGUAUGUACCAUAUGAAUAAGGAUCGGCUAACUCUGUGCCAGCAGCCGCGGUAAUACGGAGGAUCCGAGCGUUAUCCGGAUUUAUUGGGUUUAAAGGGAGCGUAGGUGGAUUGUUAAGUCAGUUGUGAAAGUUUGCGGCUCAACCGUAAAAUUGCAGUUGAAACUGGCAGUCUUGAGUACAGUAGAGGUGGGCGGAAUUCGUGGUGUAGCGGUGAAAUGCUUAGAUAUCACGAAGAACUCCGAUUGCGAAGGCAGUUCACUGGACUGCAACUGACACUGAGGCUCGAAAGUGUGGGUAUCAAACAGGAUUAGAUACCCGUGUAGUC